rnacentral:rRNA from 1 species
UGGGGAAUAUUGCACAAUGGAGGGAACUCUGAUGCAGCGACGCCGCGUGAGUGAUGAAGGAAUUCGUUUCGUAAAACUCUGUUCUAUGGGAAGAAAAGGACUGUACCAUAGGAGAAAGCUCCGGCUAAAUACGUGCCAGCAGCCGCGGUAAUACGUAUGGAGCGAGCGUUGUCCGGAAUUAUUGGGCGUAAAGGGUGCGCAGGCGGCUUUACAAGUUGGAUGUGAAAUAUUGUGGCUCAACCACAAACGUGCAUCCAAAACUGAAAAGCUUGAGUUAAGGAGAGGUAAGUGGAAUUCCUGGUGUAGAGGUGGAAUGCGUAGAUAUCAGGAGGAAUACCGGUGGGGAAGGCGACUUACUGGACUUAAACUGACACUCAGGCACGAAAGCGUGGGGGGCAAACAGG